CACAAAAAAUAUGCAGGCUGUACGCCGCUGUGCCCUCUCGGGGGCUAGUGGCAAAGGCUGAAAUAUUUUUCACCCAUGUCUUUUGCGCACUUGUUGUUUCCUGGGCGGGCUCGCCCGCCACCAGGACCACACCUUAAACCUUUUUUAUGCAGUUGCAAUCAGCGUCAGUAUAACAAAUGUAAAAUCAUUUA
rnacentral:misc_RNA from 1 species